rnacentral:rRNA from 1 species
UUAAGUGACUAAGCGUACACGGUGGAUGCCCUGGCAGUCAGAGGCGAUGAAGGACGUGCUAAUCUGCGAAAAGCGUCGGUAAGGUGAUAUGAACCGUUAUAACCGGCGAUGUCCGAAUGGGGAAACCCAGUGCAAUUCGUUGCACUAUCGUUAACUGAAUACAUAGGUUAACGAGGCGAACCGGGGGAACUGAAACAUCUAAGUACCCCGAGGAAAAGAAAUCAACCGAGAUUCCCCCAGUAGCGGCGAGCGAACGGGGAGCAGCCCAGAGUCUGAAUCAGCUUGUGUGUUAGUGGAACGGUCUGGAAAGUCCGACGGUACAGGGUGAUAGUCCCGUACACCAAAAUGCACAGGNUGUGAACUCGAAGAGUAGGGCGGGACACGUGGUAUCCUGUCUGAAUAUGGGGGGACCAUCCUCCAAGGCUAAAUACUCCUGACUGACCGAUAGUGAACCAGUACCGUGAGGGAAAGGCGAAAAGAACCCCGGCGAGGGGAGUGAAAAAGAACCUGAAACCGUGUACGUACAAGCAGUGGGAGCACCUUCGGGUGUGACUGCGUACCUUUUGUAUAAUGGGUCAGCGACUUAUAUUCUGUAGCAAGGUUAACCGUAUAGGGGAGCCGCAGGGAAACCGAGUCUUAACUGGGCGUUAAGUUGCAGGGUAUAGACCCGAAACCCGGUGAUCUAGCCAUGGGCAGGUUGAAGGUUGGGUAACACUAACUGGAGGACCGAACCGACUAAUGUUGAAAAAUUAGCGGAUGACUUGUGGCUGGGGGUGAAAGGCCAAUCAAACCGGGAGAUAGCUGGUUCUCCCCGAAAGCUAUUUAGGUAGCGCCUCGUGAANNNNNNNNNNNUCAUCUUCGGGGGUAGAGCACUGUUUCGGCUAGGGGGUCAUCCCGACUUACCAACCCGAUGCAAACUACGAAUACCGAAGAAUGUUAUCACGGGAGACACACGGCGGGUGCUAACGUCCGUCGUGAAGAGGGAAACAACCCAGACCGCCAGCUAAGGUCCCAAAGUCAUGGUUAAGUGGGAAACGAUGUGGGAAGGCACAGACAGCCAGGAUGUUGGCUUAGAAGCAGCCAUCAUUUAAAGAAAGCGUAAUAGCUCACUGGUCGAGUCGGCCUGCGCGGAAGAUGUAACGGGGCUAAACCAUGCACCGAAGCUGCGGCAGCGACACUAUGUGUUGUUGGGUAGGGGAGCGUUCUGUAAGCCUGCGAAGGUGNNNNNNNNNNNNNNNNNNNNNNNNNNNNNNNNNNNNNNNNNNNNNNNNNNNNNNNNNNNUCCAGGCAAAUCCGGAUAAUCAAGGCUGAGGUGUGAUGACGAGGCACUACGGUGCUGAAGUAACAAAUGCCCUGCUUCCAGGAAAAGCCUCUAAGCAUCAGGUAACAUCAAAUCGUACCCCAAACCGACACAGGUGGUCAGGUAGAGAAUACCAAGGCGCUUGAGAGAACUCGGGUGAAGGAACUAGGCAAAAUGGUGCCGUAACUUCGGGAGAAGGCACGCUGGUGUGUAGGUGAAGUCCCUGCGGAUGGAGCUGAGACCAGUCGAAGAUACCAGCUGGCUGCAACUGUUUAUUAAAAACACAGCACUGUGCAAACACGAAAGUGGACGUAUACGGUGUGACGCCUGCCCGGUGCCGGAAGGUUAAUUGAUGGGGUUAUCCGUAAGGAGAAGCUCUUGAUCGAAGCCCCGGUAAACGGCGGCCGUAACUAUAACGGUCCUAAGGUAGCGAAAUUCCUUGUCGGGUAAGUUCCGACCUGCACGAAUGGCGUAAUGAUGGCCAGGCUGUCUCCACCCGAGACUCAGUGAAAUUGAACUCGCUGUGAAGAUGCAGUGUACCCGCGGCAAGACGGAAAGACCCCGUGAACCUUUACUAUAGCUUGACACUGAACAUUGAGCCUUGAUGUGUAGGAUAGGUGGGAGGCUUUGAAGCGUGGACGCCAGUCUGCGUGGAGCCAACCUUGAAAUACCACCCUUUAAUGUUUGAUGUUCUAACGUUGGCCCCUGACCGGGGUUGCGGACAGUGUCUGGUGGGUAGUUUGACUGGGGCGGUCUCCUCCCAAAGCGUAACGGAGGAGCACGAAGGUUAGCUAAUCCUGGUCGGACAUCAGGAGGUUAGUGCAAUGGCAUAAGCUAGCUUGACUGCGAGCGUGACGGCGCGAGCAGGUGCGAAAGCAGGUCAUAGUGAUCCGGUGGUUCUGAAUGGAAGGGCCAUCGCUCAACGGAUAAAAGGUACUCCGGGGAUAACAGGCUGAUACCGCCCAAGAGUUCAUAUCGACGGCGGUGUUUGGCACCUCGAUGUCGGCUCAUCACAUCCUGGGGCUGAAGUAGGUCCCAAGGGUAUGGCUGUUCGCCAUUUAAAGUGGUACGCGAGCUGGGUUUAGAACGUCGUGAGACAGUUCGGUCCCUAUCUGCCGUGGGCGCUGGAGAAUUGAGGGGGGCUGCUCCUAGUACGAGAGGACCGGAGUGGACGCAUCACUGGUGUUCGGGUUGUCAUGCCAAUGGCACUGCCCGGUAGCUAAAUGCGGAAGAGAUAAGUGCUGAAAGCAUCUAAGCACGAAACUUGCCCCGAGAUGAGUUCUCCCUGAGACUUUAAGUCUCCUGAAGGAACGUU